UUUUAAUUUUUAAUUUUAAUUUAAUUUCAAAGUAAAUCUAAUUCCAAAUUUCAAGUUAAUCUUAAUUGUGUUUUACUAAUGAUUCAAACUCUAAUUGAUUUUAAUUUCCAAAUGAAUGUUAGAGUUGACAUCAAAGUAAUUUUAACAAAUUAUAGAUUGAUCUGGUUUUAAUUGGUUUUGUUGGUUUUUUUUUUAUUUUUAAAUUGACAUUUUGAUUAGUCUCGGAUUACUUCUAAAAUCCAUAUCCAUUUUUAUAGUCAAAUAUC
rnacentral:lncRNA from 1 species